GUCGCCGGUGGCGCGCCGGCCGGCGGCGCCGUCUUGUCGAGGCGGCCGUUCGGCUGCAGGUACAGCGCCUGUUCGGUGGUG
rnacentral:tRNA from 1 species